rnacentral:rRNA from 1 species
AUGAACGCUGGCGGCGUGCCUAAUACAUACAAGUCGAGCGAACAGACGAGGAGCUUGCUCCUCUGACGUUAGCGGCGGACGGGUGAGUAACACGUGGAUAACCUACCUAUAAGACUGGGAUAACUUCGGGAAACCGGAGCUAAUACCGGAUAAUAUAUUGAACCGCAUGGUUCAAUAGUGAAAGACGGUUUUGCUGUCACUUAUAGAUGGAUCCGCGCCGCAUUAGCUAGUUGGUAAGGUAACGGCUUACCAAGGCGACGAUGCGUAGCCGACCUGAGAGGGUGAUCGGCCACACUGGAACUGAGACACGGUCCAGACUCCUACGGGAGGCAGCAGUAGGGAAUCUUCCGCAAUGGGCGAAAGCCUGACGGAGCAACGCCGCGUGAGUGAUGAAGGUCUUCGGAUCGUAAAACUCUGUUAUUAGGGAAGAACAAAUGUGUAAGUAACUAUGCACGUCUUGACGGUACCUAAUCAGAAAGCCACGGCUAACUACGUG